rnacentral:rRNA from 1 species
CCUACGGGGUGCUGCAGUGGGGAAUAUUGGACAAUGGGCGAAAGCCUGAUCCAGCCAUGCCGCGUGUGUGAAGAAGGCCUUCGGGUUGUAAAGCACUUUCAGUGGGGAAGAAAGCCUUGGGGCUAAUACCCUCGAGGAAGGACAUCACCCACAGAAGAAGCACCGGCUAACUCCGUGCCAGCAGCCGCGGUAAUACGGAGGGUGCGAGCGUUAAUCGGAAUUACUGGGCGUAAAGCGCGCGUAGGCGGUCUGAUAAGCCGGUUGUGAAAGCCCCGGGCUCAACCUGGGAACGGCAUCCGGAACUGUCAGGCUAGAGUGCAGGAGAGGAAGGUAGAAUUCCCGGUGUAGCGGUGAAAUGCGUAGAAAUCGGGAGGAAUACCAGUGGCGAAGGCGGCCUUCUGGACUGACACUGACGCUGAGGUGCGAAAGCGUGGGUAGCAAACAGGAUUAGAUACCCGUGUAGUC